rnacentral:rRNA from 1 species
GAAAGUAAGAAAGGGCGUAUGGCGGAUGCCUAGGCUCACGGAGGCGAUGAAGGACGUGAUAAGCUGCGAUAAGCUUCGGGUAGGUGCAAAUAACCCUUGAUCCGGAGAUUUCCGAAUGGGACAACCUAGCCGUCUGAAGGACGGUUACUAGCACUUAAGUGUUAGAGCUAACGCAGGGAACUGAAACAUCUUAGUACCUGCAGGAAGAGAAAAUAAAUGAAUGAUUCCCCCAGUAGUGGCGAGCGAACGGGGAACAGCCCAAACCGUUGACGUCGCAAGGCGCCAGCGGGGUUGUAGGACCGCGACAUUGUAUGCAAAUCGUGAACAGAACACUUUGGAAAAUGUGACCAUAGACGGUGAUAGUCCAGUAUGUGAAGCGAAAUGCAGCAUAGCGGUAUCCUGAGUAACGCGGGACACGAGGAAUCCUGCGCGAAUCUGCCGGGACCAUCCGGUAAGGCUAAAUACUCCCGUGAGACCGAUAGCGAACGAGUACUGUGAAGGAAAGGUGAAAAGAACCCCGAGCAGGGGAGUGAAAUAGUUCCUGAAACCAUACGCCUACAAGCGGUCGGAGCAUCUUACGAUGUGACGGCGUGCCUUUUGCAUAAUGAUCCUACGAGUUACCGUCACUGGCGAGGUUGAGUGUCACGAGACACGUAGCCGCAGUGAAAGCGAGCCUGAACAGGGCGCAUAGUCAGUGGGGGUAGACGCGAAACCAAGUGAUCUACACUUGGCCAGGAUGAAGUCCCGGUAACACGGGAUGGAGGUCCGCACCAAUAAGCGUUGAAAAGCUUCUGGAUGAGCCGAGUGUAGGAGUGAAAGGCCAAUCAAACUUGGAGAUAGCUCGUACUCCCCGAAAGGCAUUUAGGUGCCGCGUCGGAUGGUCACCGUGAGAGGUAGAGCGACCGAUAGGACAAGAGGGCUUCACCGCCUAUCGAGUCCUGACGAACUCCGAAUGCUCACGGUCUGCAGUCCGGCAGUAAGGGGGCGGGUGCUAAGGUCCGUCCCCGAGAGGAGAAGAAUCCAGACCGCCGUCUAAGGUCCCGGAGUUCUGCCUGAGUUAGUCUAACGAAGUCUGGUCCCUAUGACAGCUAGGAUGUUGGCUUGGAAGCAGCCAUUCAUUCAAAGAGUGCGUAACAGCUCACUAGUCGAGGGUCCGGGCAUGGAUAAUAAUCGGGUAUAAGGCAGACACCGAAGGCGCGGGAUAGCAUUUAAGAAAGUAUCGGUAGGGGAGCAUACUCACAGCGUGGAAUGGUGUACGUAAGUUAUCCUGGAGCGGUGAGUAAAGCAAAUGUAGGAAUAAGUAACGAUAAGGAGGGUUAGAUUCCCUCCCGCUGUAAGACCAAGGUUUCCCGGGCAAUGCCAAUCAGCCCGGGGUCAGUCGGGUCCUAAGUCUAAGCCGAACGGCGAUGGCGAUGGCAGAGACGGUUAAUAUUCCGUCACUGCCGCAUGGGGCGACGUGGAGACGGAGCAGUGAAACCACCGCGGGGCGACGGAAGUCCCCGUUGAAGAGUGUAGGUGUUGAGGAUGGCAGGCAAAUCCACCGUCCGAGCUGAACUUGAUAGUAUGGAGUCUUCUUCGGAAGAAUCCAAUAGUGUGGGUAAUCAUACUCCCGAGAAAAUCCGCUAAGCUUAACCCAUGCGGCACCCGUACCGCAAACGGACACACGUGGUCGGGUAGAACAUACUAAGGCGUUGAGAGAUUCAUGGUUAAGGAACUAGGCAAAUUGACCCUGUAACUUCGGGAUAAAGGGUCCUCGUGAUGAGCGAGGCGCAGAGAAUAGGUCCAGGCAACUGUUUAACAAAAACACAGGGCUGUGCAAACUCGAAAGAUGACGUAUACAGCCUGACACCUGCCCGGUGCCGGAAGGUUAAGAGGAGAUGUCACUCGCAAGAGGAAGCAUUGAAUUGAAGCCCCGGUAAACGGCGGCCGUAACUAUAACGGUCCUAAGGUAGCGAAAUUCCUUGUCGGGU